UACGUAGGGGGCGAGCGUUGUCCGGAAUCAUUGGGCGUAAAGCGCAUGUAGGCGGCUCGAUAAGUCCGGUGUGAAACCUUGGGGCUCAACCCCAAGCCUGCACUGGAUACUGCCGAGCUAGAGUCCGGGAGGGGAGAGCGGAAUUCCUAGUGUAGCGGUGAAAUGCGCAGAUAUUAGGAAGAACACCGGUGGCGAAGGCGGCUCUCUGGAACGGUACUGACGCUGAGACGCGAAAGCGUGGGGAGCGAACAGG
rnacentral:rRNA from 1 species